AAAGAAGCUUUCCUAAUUCAUUAGAACAUCAGUUCUCCCCAGACAUAAUGUUCAUCAUGGAAGUACUUUUCCCCUUUGGAGAUCACUGGAAACAGCUUCUGGACCACAAAUGGGGUGAACUACUGUAUCGAGAAAGGAGAGAGUAAGACUUGAGAGCUAUCUUUUUAGCUCAGGGUGCAGAAGAAGAAAGUGAGGUUCAGAGAGACUAGGACAUUUGCCCAAGGUCGCACAGCUGGUGGAAAGCAGAGAUGGGGUUUGGAUCCAGGCCUCACUGAUUCCAAAGCUCUCUUUUACAUCUGUAUACACGACACUGCAACUUUAAAAUAAAGA
rnacentral:lncRNA from 1 species